rnacentral:rRNA from 1 species
CUUUGAUAUUAACUUACCCCUAAUAUCCGCCAGGGAACUACAAGCGUUAGCUUAAAACCCAAAGGACUUGGCGGUGCCUCACACCCACCUAGAGGAGCCUGUUCUUGAAUCGAUAAUCCCCGUUCAACCUCACCACCCCUUGUUAGACCCGCCUAUAUACCGCCGUCGUCAGCUCACCCUGUGAAGGACUUAAAGUGAGCAAAAUGGGCAAAACCCAGAACGUCAGGUCAAGGUGCAGCGUAUGAGGUGGGAAGAAAUGGGCUACAUUACCUACAACAGGUUACUACGAAUGGGGCCGUGAAACCGACCCCUGAAGGUGGAUUUAGCAGUAAGGGGGAAAUAGAGAGUUCUCCUGAAGCCGGCUCUGAGGCGCGCACACACCGCCCGUCACCC